rnacentral:rRNA from 1 species
CUGGUUGAUUGCUGCCAGUAGUCAUAUGCUUGUCUCANAGANUAAGCCAUGCAUGUNCUAAGUAUAAGCAAUUAUACAGCGAAACUGCGAACGGCUCAUUAUAUAAAGUUAUCGUUUAAUUUGAUAGUACCCUACUACUUGGAUAAACCGUGGUAAUUUCUAGAGCUAAUACAUGCUAGAAAAUCCCAACUUCGGAAAGGGAUGUAUUUAUUAGAUUAGAAAACCAAUGCCCUCCGGGGCUUACUGGUGAUUCAUGAUAACUCCUCGAAUCGCAUGGCCUUGCGCCGGCGAUGGUUCAUUCAAAUUUCUUCCCUAUCAACUUUCGAUGUUUGGGUGAUUGGCCAAACAUGGUUGCAACGGGUAACGGAGGNGUUAGGGCUCGACCCCGGAGAAGGAGCCUGAGAAACGGCUACUACAUCCAAGGAAGGCAGCAGGCGCGCAAAUUACCCAAAUCCCGACACGGGGAAGGUAGUGACAAUAAAUACUUGAUACAAGGGCUCUUUUGGGUCUUUGUAAAUUGGAAUUGAGUACAAUUUAAAUCCCCUUAAACGAGGAACAAAUUGGAGGGCAAGUCUUGGUGCCAGCAGCCGCGGUAAUUCCAAGCUCCAAUAGCGUAUNUUAANNUUGUUGUGGNUAAAAAGCUCGUAGUUGAACCUUGGGCCUGNCUGNCCGGUCCNCCUCACCGCGUGANCACUGGUCCUGNCCGGCCGGGCCUUUCCCUCUGUGGAACCCCAUGCCCUUCACUGGGUGUGGCGGGGAAACNAGGACUUUUACNUGUGAAAAAAUUAGAGUGCUCCAGGCAGGCCUAUGCUCGAAUACAUUAGCAUGGAAUAAUAGAAUAGGACGUGUGGUUCUAUUUUGUUGGUUUCUAGGACCGCCGUAAAUGAUUAAUAGGGACAGUCGGGGGCAUCAGUAUUCAAUUGUCAGAGGUGAAAUUCUUGGAUUUAUUGAAGACUAACUACUGCGAAAGCAUUUGCCAAGGAUGUUUUCAUUAAUCAGGAACGAAAGUUAGGGGGAUCGAAGACGAUCAAGAUACCGUCGUAGUCUUUAACCCAUAAACUUAUGCCGACUAGGGAUCGGACGGUGUUAUAUUUUGGACCUGUUCGGCACCUUACGAGAAAUCAAAGUGCUUGGGCUCCAGGGGGAGUAUGGUCGCAAGGCUGAAACUUAAAGAAAUUGACGGAAGGGCACCACCAGGGGUGGAGCCUGCGGCGUUAAUUUGACUCAACACGGGGAAACUCACCAGGUCCAAGACACCAAUGAGGGAUUGACAAGAUUGAGAGCUCUUUCUUGAUUUUUGUGGGUGGUGGUGCAUGGCCGUUCUUAGUUGGGUGGAGUGAUUUUGUCUGCUUAAUUGCGAUAACGAAACGAGACCUUAACCUACUAAAUAGUCCGUAUUGCUUUGGCAGUACGCUGGCUUCUUAGAGGGACUAUCGGCUCAAGCCGAUGGAAGUUUGAGCGCAAGUAACAGGUCUGUGAUGCCCUUAGAUGUUCUGGGCCGCACGCGCGCUACACUGACGGAGCCAGCGAGUACCUCCUUGGCCGAAAGGCCCGGGUAAUCUUGUUAAACUCCGUCGGUGCUGGGGAUAGAGCAUUGCAAUUAUUGCUCUUCAACGAGGAAUCCCCUAGUAAGCCGCAAGUCAAUCAGCUUGCGUUGGAUUACGUCCCUGCCCUUUGUACANCNCCGCCCGUCGNUACUACCGAUUGAAUUGGCUCAGUGAGGCGUUCGGACUGGCCCAGAGAGGUGGGCAACUACCACUCAGGGCCGGAAAGUUCUCCAAACUCGGUCAUUUAGAGGAAGUAAAAGUCGUAACAAGGUCUCCGUAGGUGAACCUGCAGA